AAGGUUUGACAUGGAGGGCAAAGUUGAAGAAAUUCAACGGAGGUUAUCCCGACACAGGUGGUGCAUGGUCGUCGUCAGUUCGUGCUGUGAAGCAUAUGCUUAAGUGCUAUAACGAACGCAACCCUCGUAUUUAGUUACUAUCAUUCAGUUGAGAACUCUAAAUAGACUGCUAAGGUAACUUAGAGGAAGGAGAGGAUGACGUCUGAUCAUCAUGCCCCUUAUAUCUUGGGCUACA
rnacentral:rRNA from 1 species